rnacentral:miRNA from 13 species
AUUCGAUCAGCCUGCACUCUCU